rnacentral:lncRNA from 1 species
GAUUUGAAUGUUGUUAAAUAAUUUGAAACUUUCUUAUAUAAAAUAACGAAAUAUUUGCUGAUGGAGAGGAAAGAUGGAGAGAGAAAAUGGAAACAAAAAGAGAAAAUUUUUUUUGAUAAUAUAGUAAAGAUAAAAUUAUGUAAUUAUCCACGUAUUAAAAGACAAAAAUAUUCCUCAUUGGGGUACCUGAUAAUCGGUACAUCUCUAAAAGUGACCUGCUAUUACAUGUCAUAAUUUUUUAAAAAGUAAAUUUGAGUUGUCGAAUAGGAGUGAAUGAACGGUAUUGAAAAAUAACAACUAUAGAAGCACUUGUACUCC